rnacentral:misc_RNA from 1 species
GCCGUUCAUGUAUGAAGUCACAAAUGGCAUCUCCAGGGUUUACCGAUGUAUUUGCUGCACUUGUUGCUGUUGUGAAUACUAAGUUUCCGGAAGUGGGUGAUCUUCUAUUGAGAAGAAUUGUGUUGCAGCUCAAAAGAGCAUAUAAACGGAAUGACAAGCCUCAACUGCUUGCUGCCGUGAAAUUUAUAGCGCAUUUAGUUAAUCAGCAGGUGGCUCAUGAAAUAAUUGCAUUAGAAUUACUCACUGUGUUGCUGGAGAAUCCUACAGAUGACAGCGUGGAGGUGGC